GAUGAACGCUGGCGGCGUGCCUAAUACAUGCAAGUCGAGCGAACGGACGAGAAGCUUGCUUCUCUGAUGUUAGCGGCGGACGGGUGAGUAACACGUGGCUAACCUACCUAUAAGACUGGGAUAACUUCGGGAAACCGGAGCUAACACCGGAUGAUAUUUUGAACCGCAUGGUUCAAAAGUGAAAGACCGUCUUGCUGUCACUUAUAGAUGGAUCCGCGCUGCAUUAGCUAGUUGGUAAGGUAACGGCUUACCAAGGCAACGAUGCAUAGCCGACCUGAGAGGGUGAUCGGCCACACUGGAACUGAGACACGGUCCAGACUCCUACGGGAGGCAGCAGUAGGGAAUCUUGCGCAAUGGGCGAAAGCCUGACGGGGCAACGCCACGUGAGUGAUGAAGGUCUUCGGAUCGUAAAACUCUGUUAUUAGGGAAGAACAUAUGUGUAAGUAACUGUGCACAUCUUGACGGUACCUAAUCAGAAAGCCACGGCUAACUACGUG
rnacentral:rRNA from 1 species